CAGUGAGCAUGUAGUGAGCAUGUCUGUAGUGAGGUUGUGUGUCAGAGAGCUUGUAGUGAGCUUAUGUGUGUCAGUGAGCUUGUAGUGAGGAUGUGUGUGUCAGUGAGUCUGUAGUGAGUUUGUGUGUGCUUUAGUGAGCUUGUAGUGAGCAUGUCUGUAGUGAGCUUGUGUGUGUCAGUGAGUUUGUAGUGAGCUUGUGUGUGUCAGUGAGUUUGUAGUGAGCUUAUGUGUGUGUCAGUGAGCUUGUAGUGAGCAUGUCUGUACUGUGCUUGAGUGUGUGUCACUGAGCUUAUAGUGAGCUUGUUUGUGUCAGUGUGCUUGUCUGUAUUAUGCUUUUGUGUGUUUUAGAGAGCUUGUCUAUAGUGAGCUUGUGUGUGUGUCAGUGAGCAUGUAGUGAGUUUGUUUGUAGUGAGCAUGUCUGUAGUGAGCUUGUGUGUGUUAGUGAGUUUUUAGUGAGCUUAUGUGUGUGUGAGCCUGUAUGUGUCUGUGAGCAUGUCUGUAGUGAGCUUAUGUGUAUGUGAGCCUGUGUGUGUCAGUGUGCUUGUAGUGAGCUUGUCUGUAUUAUGCUUUUGUGUGUUUUAGAGAGCUUGUCUAUAGUGAGCUUGUGUGUGUCAGUGAGCAUGUAGUGAGUUUGUUUGUAGUGAGC